rnacentral:rRNA from 1 species
AACGAACGCUGGCGGCGUGGCUAAGGCAUGCAAGUCGAACGGACCUGUCUGAAGGGCAACCGGAGGGCAGGUCAGUGGCGAACGGGUGAGGAAUACAUGGAUAACGUGCCCCGGACACAGGGAUAGCGUUGCGAAAGUGACGGUAAUACCUGAUGACCCCGUAGGACCGCAUGGUCCCGCGGGCAAAGCUCCGACGGUCCGGGAGCGAUUCAUGUCCUAUCAGCUAGUUGGUGAGGUAACGGCUCACCAAGGCUACGACGGGUACCGGGCGUGAGAGCGCGACCCGGCACAUCGGAACUGAGACACGGUCCGGACACCUACGGGUGGCUGCAGCAACGAAUAUUCCGCAAUGGACGAAAGUCUGACGGAGCGACGCCGCGUGCAGGAUGAAGUCCCUCGGGAUGUAAACUGCUGUCAGGGUUAGGAACUUUGACCAGCCCCAGAGGAAGCCACGGCUAACUCCGUGCCAGCAGCCGCGGUAAUACGGAGGUGGCGAGCGUGUUGGU